rfam:Clostridium homopropionicum DSM 5847 CLHOM_contig000027, whole genome shotgun sequence.
GGCUCGAUAGCUCAGUUGGUAGAGCAGAGGACUGAAAAUCCUCGUGUCACUGGUUCGAUUCCAGUUCGAGCCA